AACGAACGCUGGCGGCAGGCCUAACACAUGCAAGUCGAACGCCCCGCAAGGGGAGUGGCAGACGGGUGAGUAACGCGUGGGAACGUGCCCUUCGGUUCGGAAUAACUCAGGGAAACUUGAGCUAAUACCGGAUACGCCCGUAAGGAGAAAGAUUUAUCGCCGAAGGAUCGGCCCGCGUCGGAUUAGCUAGUUGGUGAGGUAACGGCCCACCAAGGCGACGAUCCGUAGCUGGUCUGAGAGGAUGANCAGCCACACUGGGACUGAGACACGGCCCAGACUCCUACGGGAGGGCAGCAGUGGGGAAUAUUGGACAAUGGGCGAAAGCCUGAUCCAGCCAUGCCGCGUGAGUGAAGAAGGCCUUAGGGUUGUAAAGCUCUUUCAGCGGGGAAGAUAAUGACGGUACCCGCAGAAGAAGCCCCGGCUAACUUCGUGCCAGCAGCCGCUGUAAU
rnacentral:rRNA from 1 species